UACGUAGGGGGCAAGCGUUGUCCGGAUUUAUUGGGCGUAAAGAGCGUGUAGGCGGCCAAGCAGGUCCGCUGUGAAAACUCGAGGCUCAACCUCGAGAGGUCGGUGGAAACCGUUUGGACUAGAGUCCGGAAGAGGAGAGUGGAAUUCCCGGUGUAGCGGUGAAUGACGCAGAUAUCGGGAAGAACACCCGUGGCGAAGGCGGCUCUCGUGGGACGGUACUGACGCUGAGACGCGAAAAGCGUGGGGGAGCAAACAGG
rnacentral:rRNA from 1 species